rnacentral:lncRNA from 1 species
AUGCGGCGGACCUCGCCUUCUCUCUUCCCCUUCCCUCCUCUCAGGGCGCCCUUUCCCUCAACAAAGAUGGCGGCGCCAGCCUCUUUGCUCUGGCGGCGGCGAAGGAGGGCCGCCGCUGUUGCUGCUACCCUCGGUUCGGGUGGGCCGGGAGGUCUUGCUGGCGACGGGCGCUUGGCCGAGCGAGCCGGACGGGCUCUUCUGCUGGCGCUCCGGACCCAGCGUGAGGGAGUAAGCGGGGGUGGCGGAGCCGAAGGAGGAAGAGGAAGGACGAGCAACCCCCUUCCCGCGGGCGGAUUCUGGGCAGGGAAGGUGGGGGAGGAAGGGGAAGGUUGGACGGGCUGGGAGGAGAAGCAGCCUCGAGUCGCCUCCUCUGGGUCUCCGGAGGGAGCAUCUCCCUUUGCACAAUUUUGAGAUCCUCCUUAUUGGAAUUGCCGCCGCUGCCGCCGCCCCUUCCUCCUUUCUAACCCUCCCCACCUCUUGACCGUUCUUUAACGCAGAGUUACUCAACCCCUUGCAUAGCCAGUGGGGUUGGGAUGCCUGAGCCCCCCCAAAAAAUACCCAACAGAGUUGCCCUUUCCUGAUACUGUUACUGAGGUUGAAGAGCCUACCGGGGGCGACUUCUGCUUGCUCUCACUUCCCCAUUGCUCUUCCUUUCUGUAUCAAGGAAACUCGCGCCCCCCCCCCGCAAUACAGAUUUAAGCUUAUCCUGUCCCAAGCUUCCAAUUUUUGUUUGUUUGUGGAACACAAAAGUCGGCACCGAGAGUGCUCUAGUUUUUAAGUGGGAGUGGCAGCAUUCAUAGUAACAAUUUAGUUUUCGAGAGGUUUCCCCAUAACCGCGGUGACUUUACUGUCGCUGUGGUCUUGCACCCUCCCACCCUUGUGGGUGGGAGCUGCCCGGUAUUUUCUGCCAUGCAAAGUGGGGAGCCUGUGGUGGCAGCUACAACAGCCACUAUGAAAGUAUCUGAAAGUGAAGGCAAGCUGGAGAUCUUGCUCCCAGCCCCAAACUGCACAAGUAAAAGCAGCAGCAAUAGUGGGAUCAGCAGCACUGGUAGCCGAGGAGGAGGCGGAGGAGGCAGUACCAAAAGCUGGCAGUACAGGUAAGGUUCUCCGCUGGAGCCUCUUGGCACUAACUUAUUUCUAUUCAGUGUGGAUUGUAGCUUGUGUUUUUAAAAAAGCAUUCUAUUGUGGUUGUGUUGGAGGGGGGGUGUAAAUGGUAAGCAGCUGCCUAAAACGGGCCUGAAACCUUGGGUUCUUCAGAUGUUUUGGCCCACAACUUCCCCUAGCCUUGCUCAUGACAAGGAAACGUGGGAGUUGUGGCCCAGGAU